rnacentral:rRNA from 1 species
AUGGAGCAAUUGGAGAAAAGGAUGGAUGCAGCAGAACAACAAAUCAAAGAGCUGCGUGAAGAUCUUAAUCGGAGAUUUGAUCAGCUGGUUGAGAUGAUAAAAAAGGGUGUUCCCCAUGCUACCAAUAAAGGAGAUUCAUCUAAAGGAGAAGAAGAUGUUCAUCAAAGGAGAGGUAAUCUUGGAGCAAGACCGCCACAACAACAUGCUGUUCAACGUGCUUCAAGAAGGCCAAUUUAUGUUGAAACUUCUGAAGGUGAAGAAUAUGAUGAAGCCCUUGAAGAAGCUGAUCUCUAUGCAAACCGGAGAGCCUCUUGA